CCAAAAAUGGACCUCCUUUAAAGACCAUUUAUUAUUGUAUAACUUUUGCUUGAUGCCACUCAUCAUGGAUUAUAAAUAAUAUUUCCAGUUGAUAAUUUUUAAUAUCCAAGCAAUUGGGAUUAUGGCUCCAUCUAUUUGAUGACAAAUAAAGUGCCAGCCGUCGCGGUCAUACUUUAGUCAAAGUGAAAAAAAACAGAGUGCAAUAAAUAACACAAGAAAAUUAAUAGUGAAAUAUUAAUUCACCUCUAAAUUAACUUAUUUAUUUUAAUGAUAAAACCUGAGACCAAACAUGGAUUAGAUACCCAUUUAUGCAGGAAGCACAACACAACUCUGGGUAGUACUAUUUCCUGAUUCAAACUCAAAUAACAUGGCGGUAGUAUAAAUAUUUAGGGGAACUUACUAAGUAAAUGAUAACCACCAAGAACAUGUACAUUAAUUAAAAUUUUACAUACCGUCGUCGUCAGGUAAACUUUUAUAGGAUAUCUAAAUAUUAUAUAAGAAAAAGACAGAUCAAGGUGUAGACAAUACUAAUGUUUAAGCGAGUUACUAUAAAAAUUAUAUUCACUUCACGACCUUACUGUCGUUAAAUGUAGGACUUAAAAGUAAUUUAUAUUAAGAAUACUAUAUGAAUUUAUUUUAUACUGCGC
rnacentral:rRNA from 1 species